rnacentral:lncRNA from 1 species
AAUUUUUUAAGACCUCAAUCCUAAAAAUUGCAAAAUGAAAUAAAAAAAGACAAAUUAUUAAAUGAACUUAUUAAUUUAAUUGUCAAAAUUCAAAUUAAAAUGCUAUAAUUCAAUUGUAUCAGAAUUUUACUUUAUCGAAGUUCAGAAUGAUUCAUUUCUUAAUUAAAAAACUAUAAUUCGAAAUUAAGAAAUCAAAACGAAAUUUAUUUUCCUGUAAUCCCAGCC